GUGUACGUGUGUAUGUGUAUGAAUGUCUGUGUGUGUGUCUGUGUGGUGUAUGUGUGUGUCUCUCUGUGUGUGUGGCAUGUGUAUGUGUGUGUGGUAUGUGGGUAUGUGUAUGAGUGUCUGUAUGUCUCUGUGUAUGUGAGUGUCUCUCUGUGCGUGUAUGAAUGUCUGUGUGUGUGUCUCUGUGUGUAUGAAUGUCUGUGUGUAUGUGUGUGUGGUAUAUGUGUAUGUGUAUGAGUGUCUGUGUGUGUAUGUUUCUGUGUAUAUGUCUGUCUCUCUGUGUAUGAAUGUCUGUGUGUCUGUGUGUAUGUGUGUACAUGCAUGCCCCCUGCACAGUAGUGUUAAUGUCUGUACAGAUACCUGUGGGGAUCAGGAGGGGGAGCGAGAACCCCUGGAGCUGAAGUUCCUAUGGUUUUGAGUCAUGCAGUGUGGGUUAUGGGAACUAAACUCCUUCAGUGGUGAGAGCAGCAGAGCCUCUUAACCCCUGAGCCAUGUCCUGCUUGAGCCACUGUGCUGAAGUAUUCCAGGUUCAUAAAGCAAGAGCAAAAGUGGGAGGAGAUGGGGUCAAGGCAACACAGGCGUGGUGUGGGGCUGCAGCUCUGUAGUGACCACAGCUGUGAUGUGGGGCUGCAGCUCUGUAGUGACCACAGCUGAGAUGUGGGGCUGUAGCUCUGUAGUGACCACAGCUGUGGUGUGUGGCUGCAGUCCUGUAGCGACCACAGACGCUGGGCAUCUUCUCAAGUUCCUAUCAGAAUCUCUAGAAAAAUGGCCACUCAACUUCUGUGCCCAUUUCCCACUGGGUUGAUUAUUCCUGAUGCCA
rnacentral:lncRNA from 1 species